rnacentral:rRNA from 1 species
UACAUAGGUCCCAAGCGUUGUUCGGAUUCAUUGGGCGUAAAGGGUGCGUAGGCGGUGCGGUAAGUCGGGUGUGAAAUCUCGGAGCUUAACUCCGAAACUGCAUUCGAUACUGCCGUGCUUGAGGACUGGAGAGGAGACUGGAAUUUACGGUGUAGCGGUGAAAUGCGUAGAUAUCGUAAGGAAGACCAGUGGCGAAGGCGGGUCUCUGGACAGUUCCUGACGCUGAAGCACGAAGGCCAGGGGAGCAAACGGG